UGUCAUUAUCGGUCCGAAUAUGUUUGAUGCACGUUCGAAACGCAGUGAGUACGUGCAUCCAGUUCGAACGUGCAUCAAGCAUAUUCGGACCGAUAAUGACA
rnacentral:pre_miRNA from 1 species